rnacentral:SRP_RNA from 2 species
GCUAGGCGCGGUGGCUCACGCCUGUAAUCCCAGCACUUUGGGAGGCUGAGGCGGGUGGAUCACCUGAGGUCAGGAGUUCGAGACCAGCCUGACCAACAUGGUGAAACCCUGUCUCUA